rnacentral:rRNA from 1 species
UACAGAGGUCUCAAGCGUUGUUCGGAUUCAUUGGGCGUAAAGGGUGUGUAGGUGGCGCCGUAAGUCGGGUGUGAAAUCUCGGGGCUUAACUCCGAAACUGCAUUCGAUACUGCGGUGCUUGAGGACUGGAGAGGAGACGUGGAAUUCGAUAGUGUAGCAGUGAAAUGCGUAGAGAUCAUGAGGAAGACCAGUGGCGAAGGCGGGUCUCUGGACAGUUCCGUGACAGC